CCCUUCUUUUUCUUCUUCUUUUUUUUCUUCUUUUUUUUUUUCUUCUUCUUUUU
rnacentral:ribozyme from 12 species